GAGGUGCGUGUCGAAGGUUAAAUGUCUCCUGAGCGCUGAAGGUCCAGGAUGUGCCGUUCACCAAGAGCUCCGCUGCGUCACAUCCGUCUCAGAAGCUUUGCAAAUAGGUUGAUUAGCUAGCUAAUUAGCCAACUUUAGCUCAUGAGGUGCGUGUCGAAGGAUUAAAUGUCUCCUGAGCGCCGACGGUCCCGGAUGUGCCAUUCACCGAGAGCUCCGCUGCGGUCGUAUCCGUUUCAGAGGCUUCGCAAUUAUGUUGAUUAUAUUGCCAAAUCAGAUGCUGCGUCACUGACUGACUAACCAUCCAACGCUGAUCUCAAACGUAAUCAUUGUGUAAAGCUGGUUGCCAGCCGCAGUAUGAUCAAACGGAAACAAAAGUGAAACCUAAUAUAAGACUGAACUGUGUAUAUAACUCCUGGGGGGCUUUUAUUUUGAAAGAAAGAGAUACAGGAAGAGGUUAAUGCAGGAACUUCACCAAUCACGGACUUUCCUCGUCUUGUUUACAGUCGAAGCUCAGCAGCACGCACCGGAGUUCAGGUACACAAAGGGAGGAGAGACUGACCCUGAUGAUGACCAUAUUGAACUGGAUGACAGCAGCAGCGGCAGGAACCUCCCAGUUCAACCUGCUUUUGCUGUACCUAAAGGGUCCUAAGACAUUUUUCAAACAAGAGCUGCAGGUCCUGCACAACAGAUCCUGAAGACCUUCCCUCGCACUCAGCAUGAAUCCUGCUCCAGGCAGUGGCGGCAGCUGCGUGUUCAAGGAAAGAAAUUGGACUGUGUUGAGUUAGACCUUACACUGGCAGUUGGGGCAUUGUAUAGCAAUUUAACCCACGAGAUAUAAUUUUGACCAAAACCAAACCUAUUUAGAACUGAAAAUAAAUAAUUCCACUCCACUCUAUCAAAAGCCUUUUCUGCAUCCAUAGUAAUUACCAUUUCAGGGUCUUGUGAUUCUGGCUUGGACAGUAUUAUGUUGAGCAGAUGGAGUAUAUUGCAGAUGCAGUAGACCUACCAGGCAUACUGGCCUGCCUAUAACUUCAGUCCAGUUUCCAUAGAGCACCAAAAAAGUUAAAGGAGAUGUGUAAAGAGACGUCAUGUUUUCACUUACUGCUGAGAUCACGGUAGAAACACACCGAUUCAUCCGCGGUGUCAAAUAUGUGCGACUUUCCAUUAACAGUGACCUGUUACUGUGCCGGGUAGAUCAACCCCAAGGGUAUCCCAUCCUUAUAAAGGAGAGAUCCUUGCAGGAUAACCCUGGGAGGAGACGCUCUGUAUUUUCUUUGCCCAUAGCUGCACUCGCUCUUUCUGGAUGUAUCUGUGAAAGUGUACAACAAUGGGCUGGGAACCCUGUGCUGGCAUUGGCCCCAGACUGUGGUGAGAUCUGUCCAGUUCAAAGCUAGUAUCCAGUAAAGCGUCUCUGGUGCCUCCCUGACCAGCAUAAUCACAAAGAGUCAAGCAUCGGUCCCCUCUGCUUUAUCUGUUGCUACACUGCUAGCGUCUGCCUUGUUAGAGUCUUUAUCGUGCGGGCUGAAGUGUUGAGUCAGCUGAGGGUGGCUUUUGCUGCAUUUCCCGUGGGAUUUACUCAUUUCAGCUCCAAAAAUGUUACGCUGAAAAGGAAAUAAUUCAAAACGUGGGUGUAGAUAUGUUAAAGUUACAAAUGGUCAGGAAGGAAAUGCCAGGCUUUUGAUCACUCUGACGCCAUUAAUGGAAGUCAAAAAAAUCUCCAGCAAAUUUUUAAAGACCAUUUCAAUUGUUUAGCUAACUAUUUAUAUAUCUGUGCAGAGCAUUGCAUUAGCAUUUUUUUUUUACAAACUUUUCUAUCAUCUUAUUCUACAGAACAAUGUGGAUACAUUUUACCUCAGCCAAUGCAGAAGGAAAGGCUGUGAACAAUUCCAUGCAUGUUUGCUGAUGACAAAAGAAAAUGUUUAUAUUUAUGCUUGCAUAUGACACAGUUCGUAUGAAUUACCCACAUUUCCCAUUAAUUCCCAUUUAUUAUCAUGACAAGUUUCCAAUUUGCAAUAUUUCCAAAAUUCCCCAGUUUAACUUCCCAUGGAAAGUUUCCAGAAAUGUUUCCACCCCUUUGCAACCCUACUGCUUACUGUGCAUAACACAUGUUUACUAUAGAGUUGAAAAGUAUUGAUCCUAAUUAUUAAAAAUGUAAUAAUUCAAAUAAAUAUUGCAAUAUAUGAUUAUUACCAGUGCUGUAAAUUGUGUUGUUCCUUCACAUUACAUUGCACCCACUUAACCUGCCUUAGGCUACUGUUGGUGAGAUUACUUACUGCACCUUAGACCCAGAUGUUGAUGAGAAUUAUUAUUAUUAUUUGACUCUAAUUGUAUGGGUUUUGUGUAUUGCAGUAAUGCCUCAACUGUGUUAGUGUGUCUGAACAAAGUGACAUAUGAGGACCGGAUGAGUGACGUCACUGAAAGUGUGUUAAAAGUGUGUUAAGUUCCAAAACUGGCCACUAGUUGGCAGAGUCAAAGGUGAGCAAAAAAUGUUAAACACACUUACACACUUAAUUUCCGAAAAUUGUGAUGUUUCAGGACAUCAG